AUCCUUUGAUUGCGAGGGAGAAGCUAAAGCGCUGUCUAUAGGUAGCUCUGGAGCGUCUGCUCAGUGUAAAUGUGAAUGUAGCAAGCACAUAGGUUUGAGCUGGACGUCUGAGAAAGGCAUGCAUGGAAAGAAGAUACAGGAAGUGUGAAGAACCCGGACACACUAUGAAAUGCAACAUCUCCAAACUUGUCAGCACAAGCGGGUCGACAGCGUAGUCCUGCCCUCCACACUCCAUCACGAGAUCCACAAGGACGAGGCUGUUUUUCCUCUCGCACCACAUCGAGCUGUCAGGCCAACACGGACGGACCUGCGCAGGUGUCCCUGACCCUCACAUCAUCCUGAUCCUUCACAUCAUCACGUCUCCGAGCGCAGUCAUGCCUGUUUCUGGGUGUGUUUGUGUCCUGAGCCUCUGCGUCCUGCUGCCGUCUCUGGUUCGCUCCGCUCCUGGUGUUGUGGAUGAAGUGGACAUGCAGGAGGUUCUGGGUCAGUUUCUGCAGGUGUUGAACUGGACGGAUCAGGGGCCCCGGCCGAGGCCCCGCACUGAACCACCCGAGUACAUGCUGGAACUGUACGAGCGAUUCACCAGCGACCGCAGCGCCGCGCCGUCAGCUAACAUCGUCAGGAGCUUCAGGAGUGAAGAACACACCUCACACGGCGAGAGCCUGCGGACGCACCGUCUGCUCUUCAACAUCUCUGUCCCGCGUCACGAGCGUGUGGACAGCGCCGAGCUGCGGCUCCACGUGCUCCUCAAGACAGACUCGCAGCAGCGCACCGGAGCCGGGUGGAGGGUGAGCGUGUUCGAGGGCCGCUACGAGAGAGAUCCGCUGGCGUCAAAACACGUGCAUCGCAGGGAGAGCGGCUGGGAGGUGUUCGAUAUGACCAACGCCGUCCAGCACUGGAGGAAGAUCAAUACUGUGACCCCCAGCCUGGAGGUCCGUAUCGAAAACCUGCAAGCGUUUAGGAAUACCAACGACUGGCCAGUGCUAGAUCUGGACGUCGAUGGGAAUCCUGAUGGAAAACACGAGCCUGCGCUGAUCGUCUUCUCAGACGACACGAGUGACAUCCAUCAGGAAGCCCGGAGUGAACUCAAAAGGAAGGAGAACCAACGCUGGAGGGAUGAGAGCGAGGGUCAAGACGAGGCGCUGUUGACCCAAACGCGCUCGAACCUGAUCUACGACGACGGGCCGAGAGUCCGGCGCAGCGCUAAACGAGAGAACUGCAGGAAAGCCGAGAUGUACGUGGAUUUUAAAGACAUCGGCUGGGACUCGUUCGUCCUGGCUCCAUCCGGUUAUCAGGCGUUCACCUGCCGCGGAGCGUGCAAUUAUCCUCUGACCCGAGAAGUGACGCCCACCAAACACGCCAUCGUCCAGACGCUGCUCAAUCUGAAGAGUCCUCAGAGAGCGGCGCAGGCCUGCUGCGUUCCCACCGAGCUCAAGCCCAUCUCCCUGCUCUACGAGAACGAGAACGGCGUGCUGGUUUUGAAUAAUAAAUACGAGGGCAUGGUGGUCAAGGAAUGCGGAUGCAGAUAGUCCAAAACACCGGAAGAAAAGACUGAACCCACAUGUGAAUCCUCUGCAGCUCAUCAACUGAAACAGGAUGAAAUCGUAGUAGUUUCACACACGUGCUUCUUCAUGAACUAAACAUUCAGAGUCUUGGCGCCCCUAAGAGCUUUUUUUUAUUUAGUCCUCAUGUUUAUUUAUUAGGUGUAAAUUAGUUUUCUGUUGUAAUAUACAACACGCUGCUUUGGGGUGUUUAAUCAUUUGUCACUUUAAAUGAGAGACACUCAAACUAAACCUGCUUGAUUUGAGCUGUGCAUUUGUUUUUGUUUUUUUUAAAUAAAUAGGGUG